UGGGGAAUCUUAGACAAUGGGGGCAACCCUGAUCUAGCCAUGCCGCGUGAGUGAUGAAGGCCUUAGGGUCGUAAAGCUCUUUCGCUGGGGAUGAUAAUGACAGUACCCAGUAAAGAAACCCCGGCUAACUCCGUGCCAGCAGCCGCGGUAAUACGAAGGGGGCUAGCGUUGUUCGGAAUUACUGGGCGUAAAGCGCGCGUAGGCGGGCUAUUAAGCCAGAUGUGAAAGCCCGGGGCUCAACCCCGGAAUUGCAUUUGGAACUGGUAGCCUAGAGACCAGGAGAGGUUAGCGGAAUACCGAGUGUAGAGGUGAAAUUCGUAGAUAUUCGGAGGAACACCAGUGGCGAAGGCGGCUCACUGGCUCGAUACUGACGCUGAGGUGCGAAAGUGUGGGGAGCAAACAGG
rnacentral:rRNA from 1 species